rnacentral:rRNA from 1 species
CCCUUAGACGUUCUGGGCCGCACGCGCGCUACACUGACCAGUGCAACAAGCAUCCGUCCUUGGCCGACAGGCCCGGGCAAUCUUUGAACGCUGGUCGUGAUGGGGAUAGACUUUUGCAAUUUUUGGUCUUCAACGAGGAAUUCCUAGUAGACGUAGUUCAUCAGACUGCAUCGAUUACGUCCCUGCCCUUUGUACACACCGCCCGUCGCUCCUACCGAUUGAAUGCUCAGGUGAGCCAUUCGGACUUUCAUCAUGCUGGUUUCCAGUUUUGAUGAAGGAAAGUCUUGCGAACCUUAUCAUUUAGAGGAAGGAGAAGUCGUAACA